rnacentral:rRNA from 1 species
CCUACGGGGGGCAGCAGUGAGGAAUAUUGGUCAAUGGGCGUAAGCCUGAACCAGCCAAGUCGCGUGAGGGAUGAAGGUUCUAUGGAUCGUAAACCUCUUUUAUAAGGGAAUAAAGUGUGGGACGUGUCCUGUUUUGUAUGUACCUUAUGAAUAAGGAUCGGCUAACUCCGUGCCAGCAGCCGCGGUAAUACGGAGGAUCCGAGCGUUAUCCGGAUUUAUUGGGUUUAAAGGGUGCGUAGGCGGACUUUUAAGUCAGCGGUGAAAGUUUGUGGCUCAACCGUAGAAUUGCCGUUGAAACUGGGAGGAUUGAGUAUGGUUGAGGCAGGGGGAAUGCGUGGGGUAGCGGUGAAAUGCUUAGAUAGCACGCAGAACCCCGAUUGCGAAGGCAGCCUGCCAAGCCAUGACUGACGCUGAUGCACGAAAGCGUGGGGAUCAAACAGGAUUAGAUACCCGGGUAGUC